rnacentral:rRNA from 1 species
AGUGAACGCUGGCGGUAGGCCUAACACAUGCAAGUCGAACGGCAGCACAGUAAGAGCUUGCUCUUACGGGUGGCGAGUGGCGGACGGGUGAGGAAUACAUCGGAAUCUACUUUUUCGUGGGGGAUAACGUAGGGAAACUUACGCUAAUACCGCAUACGACCUACGGGUGAAAGCAGGGGAUCUUCGGACCUUGCGCGAUUGAAUGAGCCGAUGUCGGAUUAGCUAGUUGGCGGGGUAAAGGCCCACCAAGGCGACGAUCCGUAGCUGGUCUGAGAGGAUGAUCAGCCACACUGGAAGUGAGACACGGUCCAGACUCCUACGGGAGGCAGCAGUGGGGAAUAUUGGACAAUGGGCGCAAGCCUGAACCAGCCAUACCGCGUGGGUGAAGAAGGCCUUCGGGUUGUAAAGCCCUUUUGUUGGGAAAGAAAAGCAGCAGGUUAAUACCCCGCUGUUCGGACGGUACCCAAAGAAUAAGCACCGGCUAACUUCGG